rnacentral:rRNA from 1 species
AGAGUUUGAUUCUGGCUCAGAACGUACGCUGGCGGCACGCCUAACACAUGCAAGUCGAACGAAGUAGCAAUACUUAGUGGCAGACGGGUGAGUAACAUGUGGGUAUCUGCCCUUUGGCCUGGAAUAACACGAGGAAACUUGUGCUAAUACCGGAUAAGUCUUUACGGAGAAAGCUUUAUGCACCAUUGGAUGAGCCCGCACUUGAUUAGUUUGUUGGUGGGGUAAUGGCCUACCAAGACUGUGAUCAAUAGCUGAUUUGAGAGGAUGAUCAGCCACAUUGGGACUGAGACACGGCCCAAACUCCUACGGGAGGCAGCAGUGGGGAAUCUUGCACAAUGGAGGAAACUCUGAUGCAGCGAUGCCGCGUGAGUGAAGAAGGCCCUUGGGUUGUAAAGCUCUUUCGUCGGGGAAGAAAAUGACUGUACCCGAAUAAGAAGGUCCGGCUAACUUCGUGCCAGCAGCCGCGGUAAUACGAAGGGACCUAGCGUAGUUCGGAAUUACUGGGCUUAAAGAGUUCGUAGGUGGUUGAAAAAGUUGGUGGUGAAAUCCCAGAGCUUAACUCUGGAACUGCCAUCAAAACUUUUCAGCUAGAGUUUGAUAGAGGAAAGCAGAAUUUCUAGUGUAGAGGUGAAAUUCGUAGAUAUUAGAAAGAAUACCAAUUGCGAAGGCAGCUUUCUGGAUCAUUACUGACACUGAGGAACGAAAGCAUGGGUAGCGAAGAGGAUUAGAUACCCUCGUAGUCCAUGCCGUAAACGAUGUGUGUUAGACGUUGGAAAUUUAUUUUCAGUGUCGCAGCGAAAGCGAUAAACACACCGCCUGGGGAGUACGACCGCAAGGUUAAAACUCAAAUGAAUUGACGGGGACCCGCACAAGUAGUGGAGCAUGUGGUUUAAUUCGAAGAUACGCGCAGAACCUUACCAACACUUGACAUGUUCGUCGCGACUUUAAGAGAUUAAAGUUUUCGGUUCGGCCGGACGAAACACAGGUGCUGCAUGGCUGUCGUCAGCUCGUGUCGUGAGAUGUUGGGUUAAGUCCCGCAACGAGCGCAACCCUCACUUUUAGUUGCCAUCAUUUAGUUGGGCACUCUGAAAGAACUGCCAGUGAUAAGCUGGAGGAAGGUGGGGAUGACGUCAAGUCCUCAUGGCCCUUACGUGUUGGGCUACACACGUGCUACAAUGGUAUCUACAACAGGAAGCAAAACAGCGAUGUUAAGCAAAUCCUUAAAAGAUACCUCAGUUCGGAUUGCACUCUGCAACUCGAGUGCAUGAAGCUGGAAUUACUAGUAAUCGUGGAUCAGCGUGCCACGGUGAAUGCGUUCCCGGGUCUUGUACACACCGCCCGUCACACCAUGGGAGUUGGUUCUACCUUAAGGCAAGGUUUAAUACCCUUGACCACGGUAUAGUCAGCGACUGGGGUGAAGUCGUAACAAGGUA